CCUACGGGCGGCUGCAGUGGGGAAUAUUGGACAAUGGGCGAAAGCCUGAUCCAGUCAUGCCGCGUGUGUGAAGAAGGCCUUCGGGUUGUAAAGCACUUUCAGUGGGGAAGAAAGCCUUGGGGCUAAUACCCUCGAGGAAGGACAUCACCCACAGAAGAAGCACCGGCUAACUCCGUGCCAGCAGCCGCGGUAAUACGGAGGGUGCGAGCGUUAAUCGGAAUUACUGGGCGUAAAGCGCGCGUAGGCGGUCUGAUAAGCCGGUUGUGAAAGCCCCGGGCUCAACCUGGGAACGGCAUCCGGAACUGUCAGGCUAGAGUGCAGGAGAGGAAGGUAGAAUUCCCGGUGUAGCGGUGAAAUGCGUAGAGAUCGGGAGGAAUACCAGUGGCGAAGGCGGCCUUCUGGACUGACACUGACGCUGAGGUGCGAAAGCGUGGGUAGCAAACAGGAUUAGAUACCCCUGUAGUC
rnacentral:rRNA from 1 species